rnacentral:rRNA from 1 species
CCUACGGGAGGCAGCAGUGGGGAAUAUUGCACAAUGGGCGAAAGCCUGAUGCAGCGACGCCGCGUGAGGGAUGACGGCCUUCGGGUUGUAAACCUCUUUCAGCAGGGAAGAAGCGAAAGUGACGGUACCUGCAGAAGAAGCGCCGGCUAACUACGUGCCAGCAGCCGCGGUAAUACGUAGGGCGCAAGCGUUGUCCGGAAUUAUUGGGCGUAAAGAGCUCGUAGGCGGCUUGUCACGUCGGUUGUGAAAGCCCGGGGCUUAACCCCGGGUCUGCAGUCGAUACGGGCAGGCUAGAGUGUGGUAGGGGAGAUCGGAAUUCCUGGUGUAGCGGUGAAAUGCGCAGAUAUCAGGAGGAACACCGGUGGCGAAGGCGGAUCUCUGGGCCAUUACUGACGCUGAGGAGCGAAAGCGUGGGGAGCGAACAGGAUUAGAUACCCUGGUAGUCCACGCCGUAAACGGUGGGAACUAGGUGUUGGCGACAUUCCACGUCGUCGGUGCCGCAGCUAACGCAUUAAGUUCCCCGCCUGGGGAGUACGGCCGCAAGGCUAAAACUCAAAGUAUAGUCGCGUGNGAGAGCGACGACGACGACGAGGAGGAGG